rnacentral:rRNA from 1 species
UACGUAGGGGGCAAGCGUUGUCCGGAUUUAUUGGGCGUAAAGCGCGCGCAGGCGGUUUGUUAAGUUGGCUGUCUAAGGCAUCGGCUCAACCGGUGUUCGCAGCCAAAACUGGCAAACUUGAGUGCAGAAGAGGAGAGUGGAAUUCCUGGUGUAGCGGUGGAAUGCGUAGAUAUCAGGAGGAACACCAGUGGCGAAGGCGGCUCUCUGGUCUGCAACUGACGCUGAGGCGCGAAAGCGUGGGUAGCAAACAGG